rnacentral:rRNA from 1 species
AUGCCUAAAUUUUUUGGGGUCGGUUCAUGGAUGGUGCUUUUGCUAUGUUCUAUUUUAUAUGCAAUACUCAAGUUUCUUUGUUACCAAGUUGGAUAUGGCCGCACCUGGCAGGGGUGCGGUGGUGCGGCAAGCCGCACUUUCCAUCUAGUGAGGGAUAAUGGACCUUGUAUGCAGAUUUUUGGGACUCGAUUUGUUGAAUAUACAAGCAAAAGGCCCGUGCGCUGCAACAAGAGAAAACACAUAAUCUCAUGCAUCACUGAGAUACACUAUCACUUUCAAUUUUGUGGAACCAUGAACAUUUUUUAA